AUCCAGCUGACGAGUCCCAAAUAGGACGAAACGCUCCUUGUCCUGGAU
rnacentral:hammerhead_ribozyme from 1 species